rnacentral:rRNA from 1 species
AGAGUUUGAUCCUGGCUCAGGACGAAUGCUGGCGGCGUGCCUAAUACAUGCAAGUCGAGCGAGCUUGCCUAGAUGAUUUUAGUGCUUGCACUAAAUGAAACUAGAUACAAGCGAGCGGCGGACGGGUGAGUAACACGUGGGUAACCUGCCCAAGAGACUGGGAUAACACCUGGAAACAGAUGCUAAUACCGGAUAACAACACUAGACGCAUGUCUAGAGUUUGAAAGAUGGUUCUGCUAUCACUCUUGGAUGGACCUGCGGUGCAUUAGCUAGUUGGUAAGGUAACGGCUUACCAAGGCAAUGAUGCAUAGCCGAGUUGAGAGGCUGAUCGGCCACAUUGGGACUGAGACACGGCCCAAACUCCUACGGGAGGCAGCAGUAGGGAAUCUUCCACAAUGGACGAAAGUCUGAUGGAGCAACGCCGCGUGAGUGAAGAAGGGUUUCGGCUCGUAAAGCUCUGUUGGUAGUGAAGAAAGAUAGAGGUAGUAACUGGCCUUUAUUUGACGGUAAUUACUUAGAAAGUCACGGCUAACUACGUGCCAGCAGCCGCGGUAAUACGUAGGUGGCAAGCGUUGUCCGGAUUUAUUGGGCGUAAAGCGAGUGCAGGCGGUUCAAUAAGUCUGAUGUGAAAGCCUUCGGCUCAACCGGAGAAUUGCAUCAGAAACUGUUGAACUUGAGUGCAGAAGAGGAGAGUGGAACUCCAUGUGUAGCGGUGGAAUGCGUAGAUAUAUGGAAGAACACCAGUGGCGAAGGCGGCUCUCUGGUCUGCAACUGACGCUGAGGCUCGAAAGCAUGGGUAGCGAACAGGAUUAGAUACCCUGGUAGUCCAUGCCGUAAACGAUGAGU